rfam:Mucilaginibacter paludis DSM 18603 chromosome, whole genome shotgun sequence.
UUUCCUAUGGUGCAACGGUAGCACGUCCGGUUUUGGUCCGGAAGAUUGUGGUUCAAAUCCAUGUAGGAAAA